CGCUAAGAAGCUAAAUAGCGCUAGCCUUUUAAGCUAGAGACUGGGAGAUUGCCCUCCCCUAAGCGA
rnacentral:tRNA from 1 species